rfam:Paxillus involutus ATCC 200175 unplaced genomic scaffold PAXINscaffold_1, whole genome shotgun sequence.
GCCCGCCUAGCUCAAUCGGAUAGAGCGUCAGACUCUUAGGCUAGGUGAUCUGAAGGCUGCGAGUUCGACCCUCGCGGUGGGCU